rnacentral:lncRNA from 10 species
CCCAGUCUGUGGUAUUCUGUUAUGGCAGCAGAAAAUAGACUAAGAAAUAAGGCAAGAACCUUCAGCUAAAUCAUGUCAGCAUUGGAACAUGAUCCUAAAACCCAGAGUCUUUAUGCAAUAUCAUGCUAUCUCAAUUUGGAUUCUUGCAGAAGCUGAGCCUGAGGCAAUGAUGUGGGUGCAAUAUCGUUUAUUUGGGAGGUGAAGAAAGCACUGAAAGAGGAAUGGGACAGUGGAACAGGGAAGGGGAGAAACCAAAACAGACCCUUUCGUCCACCCCACCGUCUCGUGCUUUGCCUCUCCAGAUCCUCCAGCCAAGAUCCAUCUUCAGAUCAGGCAUCCAAGUCAGAUGGAGGAGGCCAGGCCUUGGCUGUGUAAUCCAGGAGCUCCAAUCUCAG